UCGAAGUCUCUGAGGCAGGCUGGGGCCCAGGCCGGCAGCGGGGAGGGGAAGGGUCCAGCCACCUCGGCGUGGCCUUGGCGAGCGCUCCGGGGUCAGAGGCCGUCGUUCUCGCCGCGCUCCACAGCGCGUCACCCGCUGCCCUAGCGACCCCCGGGCGACCCCGGCAUCGCCUGGCUGCGCCGUCCCGGCGGGCCGGCCCUCUCCACGCCCUCUCCUGGGGUUUGCGGCGGGCACAGCUCCCUCCAGACUGGGUCUCUCCACUAGCCUCCUCCCCGACCGCAACGUGGGAACCAGAGCUAUCCGAGUCACGAGCCCCAAGUGCACACAAAGCCCCCAACGGGGCCACGGCGCCUCCACGCCUCGCUACCUCCAGCUCCAGGAGCGCAGAACGCAGCGCCCUGGGUCACCGCGUCUGCCCUGCGGAGCAGCCCCACUGAGGGGAAGCCUCGGGCAGGAGUGAUGUUUUGUCUUGGCACCUGGGAAGUGCAGUGAGGGCUGGAGCUCUGGACGGACUCUCUUCGCCACGCGUGCCCCUGGAAGCAGGGUCCCUGUGAACUACGGAGAGACCCCAGAGGAGAGAUUUCCUUAUUGUGUAAACACAAAUCAGUCGUAAGGGCCGCUCCCUCUGUCUUUCUCUGUCUUCUCUUGUAUCCACGAAAAUCAUAUCUUACUCUUUGCUUCUAAGCUUCUAAUAGAAUGUUUGCAUCCUACACUUAAUCAUAAGUAUUUUUUCUUCUUCCUCAGGUCUCAAGGUGUUGACCUCCUCUCUCGUUAUUUAAUUGAUGAUGAUCGGUAGAAAUUAUGUCUGGGUGAUACGAAGUUUACCCACAGAGAGAACCCUGCUUUCUGAAUUGAAAUCCUCAGCAGAACUCUUCCAUCAUUCAUAAAUGAGAUAGCCCAAAGUUCUAAGAAAGUAAUAAGAAAGGGCGAUUUAGGCCAGGCGCCGUGGCUCACGCCUGUAAUCCCAGCACUUUGGGAGGCCAAGGUGGGCGGAUCACUUGAGGUCAGGAGUUCAAGACCAGCCUGGUCAACAUGGUGAAACCCCGUCUCUACUAAAAAUAUAAAAGAGUAGCCAGGCAUGGUGGUGCAUGCCUGUGAUCCCAGAUAUUCGGGAGGCUGGGGCAGGAGAAUCUCUUGAGCGGGGGAGAUGGAGGUUGCAGUGAGCUGAGAUCAUGCCACUGCACUGCACUCCAGCCUGGGUGACAGAGUGAGACUCUGUCUCAAAAAAAAAAAAAAAAAAAAAAAAAUACUGAUUCAGCCUGGUAGCUAUUUUGACUGGACCAGGCCAUGGAGACAUUGUUAUUUUCCUUCUCAGUGGUCAGGAAUAUACAUCUGGAACUUCUGAGUUUUUCCCCUUACAAACUUUCAUCAGAUAGUCAUCCAUGAACCACCUAUCAGUCAUUUUUUAGAAGGGUUCUAGUUUGCAUCCAAGUGAUAUUCCUUUUGCCUGAAAAACAUAGCUUUAGAGCCUAGACUACUGGUUAUUGAUUGUGAAAAAAAUUUAGCAGCUAGAAUUAUGCCCUUGUAGUAAUAAAGUGACAUUCAUGCAGAGUGAAUCACAAGGUGUGAAGGUAAGAUGCAGAAUUUAUACCACAUUCUUCUUAGGUUAAGUGCCCCCAUGACUUUUGCAUGGGAGGGCUUAUCUGCAAUGCCAACCCUUGAAGAAUGGGGAGAAAGGAAAUCUGGUUGGGCAUUUGAGCUGUGGAGGCAGCUGUUGCCAUUGGGCUUUCACCCCCACCCUCACAGCAUAAAUGAAGUACCACAUUCCUCUGUCAGAAAGCAAUGGGGAUAGGGAACCUUGCUUCAUCUGAGGACUGGCAUAGCAAAGAGCCAGACCCAGCACCUUCACCUUGUGCCUUCCAAUAUUAUUGAUUUAAUUUGCAUUUAACAGCUAAUAUUUAUUGAACAUUUACUCCAUGCCAGGCACUGAGCUUUAAACUACAGAUGCACCUCAAUUUAUGAUGGGAUUGUCCUGAUAAACCUAUUGUAGUUUAAAAAUAUCUUAAGUUGAAAGUACAUUUUUGACUUACAAUAUUUUCAAUUUAUGAUGGGUUUAUUUGAACAUAACCCCAUCAUAAAUGAAGGAACUUUUGUACCAUUGUAAAGUUGUAAAGUAGAGAAAUGUUAAGUCAAACCAUUCUAAGUUGGGGACCAUCUGUAUGUGUAUUAUCUUAUUUAAUUAUUUCAACAAUCUUAUUGGAGAAGGUUAUUUAUUUUGCCAAAGAGAAAACUGAGACCUGGAAAGAUUAAGUAAUUUAUGCAAGACCACCCUCCUAGUAAGUGAUGACUUCAAAUCCAAGUCAGUCUCCAAUACCCACACUCUUCACCCCAAUAAUAUAAUACUUCAGAAAUUUGAGAUUUUGAUUUAAGAUUUUUUUCCACCAAAAAGAUUUUAGUGGAGCUGAUGAUACAAUGAGAGUGGUAAAUUCUGGGAGAUGAUUGAAAGAACAGCUGUUUGCAAUAGAAAGCCACAUUGGGUACUUACACAGCCCCUCCCCACCUUGGUAGAUUAUCUCUUCUUUGUUCUAUCCUUCCUACCCUUCGUGAUUUCUUUUUCAGAGUUACACCCGCCAUCUAGCAAAACAGACCUCACCCAAGGUCAAUGAUGGCUGCUAACCUUGGGGUUGAUGGGGGAAGGUGGAUGCAGCAGACCCCAGGGAAAACAAGAGCACCGUGAGGAGGAGCCAGAAGAGGCCAGAGGCCCUUGUCUCAGACAUCCAGCUCUGAGAGUGAAAUGUUGCUUCCUAAUGGACUUUAAAUUACCAACAUCGCUAAACUCUCUCUUAAUAGACUUGUAAAGAUUUGCUUGCUACCUUUUUCCUCCUUCAUGUAGAAUUUGUAAUCAAGAGCCCAAUUUUGUCAUUUGGAAAUACCAAUUAUCUAAUCACGGCAUGCUGUAUAACGUACUUGUCUGCCCAAUUAGCUAGGACAAUUAUUAAAAUUCAGAGGCCUAAUUAUGUCUCAAUUUAAUGCUGGCAAACUUGCAUACAGAGCAGUAAUUAAAAUCCUCUCUUUCCCUCUGCCUUUAGGGCAGGGGAUGAUUAGGCCCUGUCAGGGGGUGUACUGAACCAAACCAGUGAAGCGUAUUGUGCAACAUGACCCUGCAUUGUUAAGUGUGUCAACAUAUUAACCUGAAUUCCCUUCAGCCCCCACAUAAUCACAUUUGGUGGAAGAAUAAAGGAGCUAAAACAUGAAGCAUUUUAUUAAAAAAACAUAAAUUCAUUUUAAUUAA